UGGGGAAUAUUGCACAAUGGGCGAAAGCCUGAUGCAGCAACGCCGCGUGAGUAAUGAAGGUCUUCGGAUUGUAAAGCUCUGUCUUUUUGGGGAACGAUAAUGACGGUACCAAAGGAGGAAGCCACGGCUAACUACGUGCCAGCAGCCGCGGUAAUACGUAGGUGGCGAGCGUUGUCCGGAUUUACUGGGCGUAAAGGGUGCGUAGGCGGAUGUUUAAGUGAGAUGUGAAAUACCCGGGCUUAACUUGGGUGCUGCAUUUCAAACUGGAUAUCUAGAGUGCAGGAGAGGAGAAUGGAAUUCCUAGUGUAGCGGUGAAAUGCGUAGAGAUUAGGAAGAACACCAGUGGCGAAGGCGAUUCUCUGGACUGUAACUGACGCUGAGGCACGAAAGCGUGGGUAGCAAACAGGAUUAGAUACCCUGGUAGUCCACGCCGUAAACGAUGAGUACUAGGUGUAGGAGGUAUCGACCCCUUCUGUGCCGCAGUAAACACAUUAAGUACUCCGCCUGGGAAGUACGAUCGCAAGAUUAAAACUCUAAGUGAAUUGAC
rnacentral:rRNA from 1 species